GAGAAUUGGAAUAACUACACUGAAAUACUUAGUCUGAAGAAGAAAUGAAACAUUUUCAAUUUCACCUCAGAAUCUGACAGGCCAGAGAGAAUUCUGAUUUCAAAGGGAUGCUUACAUUCUGUACUGAUGCGGUCUAGGAAUGUAAAUGUUCAGUGUCACACUGCUAAGUGGAUAAAGGAAGGGUCUUUCCUGGCACCAGCUCUCCUGUUUUCAUGGUUGGAAACUGGAAAUCUCUCUGUAGUCAUACUGAAAGAUGGUAAUAGAGGAGGACAUCACUUUGAGCAGCUGUUCAUAUAUGGAAGAACCUUCCUCAGAACUGAAGAAGCCAAGUGAGACAUCACAGCUGUUGCUUUAGCAUAAGAGAAAAAAGAAUCAUUGGAGGAAACAGAAAAAAGAUCUGCCCUGGUUCGUUGCAACACCCAGUUCUAGGCUGCAGAGAGGUAUGACUUUCAGUUUGAAUGAAGGAGAAAGAAUACAACAUGGGUCUUAGACUUGGAAGUCAAUAUUGCAUCCAGAAUGGAAAACAUCAGUACCUACAAGAGUCCCAUGAUCCCUGGCUGAAGGCCAGCGUCUGUAAAGGAAACGUCUGAAUUAGCAUCUAUCUGAUAGCUUGGGAACUGUCAGAGUUAGCCAAAACAAGAGCAUGGGAAAAGACUCCAUUCAUUUGAAGGUGGGAAGGACAAGUAUGCAUAGGACUUAACAUUCAGGGAAGCACUUACUGCAGUGAAAAUGAACACCCAGCAAAUAUCUGUAAAACAACUGCCCAUGCCAAAGCUGAUGGACAUGGGCUCUGGCCCCAACCUGUUAGAGUCAUGGGGUCCCAGUGGGAUGGACUUGUCUUCUCACCAGCACUACUUCUGGCAACUGCAGAUUUCUUCAGACACAGCUCUGGACUCCAGAAGCAUGGCCCUGGAUCCUAUCCUUCUGUUUGUUGUUAAUGAUCAAGAUAUAGAACUCUCAGAUUCUUCUCCAGCACCGUGUCUGCCUGCAUGUCACCAUG